UUAGUGAAUGUGAGUUUUUCU
rnacentral:piRNA from 1 species